rnacentral:RNase_P_RNA from 1 species
GCGAGUUGGUGUGUGGCUGUCGGACCCAAGUUUGGGUCUGAGGAAACUCCGCCCACAUGUAGAAUUGCAACAUCUUUGAUGUAAGGCGAGAGCCUUGGCAACGGAGCAGAAACGACACGUCCUAUUGACGCUUUAACAGAUGAGACAUUCUAAAAUGUCGAUUAGUCAAUUGGAAGCGAUGAAACGGCCGUCCUGCAAGUGGAAAGGGCAAACAGACGCUGAUGAUCAUCUACAAAAGGCGCGGGUAGCCCGAUUAGCCGAAUGCCACAAGAUAAACAAAAGGCGGGUUACAUCCAGGACAC